UCACUGUAUAUAGUAAGGAAACUUACUCUUAAUCAUUUAACAGGUUAUUACUGUGGUAUUUUACAGUUUUUUACUGUUAAAAUCACAAUCAUUUUUUACAGUGUAUAACUCCUCACUGAACUUCCCUCUGCCCUGUAUCUUUGUCUCUCAUUGGCUGAAAGUCAUCGUGAUGUAGUUUUCAGUCAGAAAUCAUUGCACACAGCGUGAUUGUGAAUCGCCGACGGCUCCAGAUAUUUAGCAUGCCAAAUAUUUCACAGGCGUCGGCGAUUCCCUCAGAUCGUGUCUUUGGUAAUUCACUCUGCCCGAUUGUCACUCGCGUGAACGAGCUCCGAUUUGCCUCCGAUGUCGGGCAUUUGUCGGCGAUUUAUCAAAACCUGUCGGCGAGUGAAAAAUCGGGCUAAAAUCGUGCAGUGUGAACUCGGCAUUAGCAACCCACAGAGAGAAGCCACUCAUCCCGGCGACAUCUGCUUUCAGGCUGCCAGAAACGUCUCUAUAGGGUGAGCUAUUGUUGCUGUUGCUUUUUGAACUGCAAAUUGAGUUUUAAGUUCAUUAUUGAAUAUUAAUGGAACGAGACUGUAAUUUAUUAAUGUAAUAUUUUAAUCCUAUAUGUUUAUUUGUGUAAAUGCUGUGUACGCGUUGAGCUCUGCGCGAGCGGGGAGCAGAGUUGCCAUGGAAACGGGGCUUUGACACAACUACUGGCGAACAGUAAUCUCCGUCUCGCGCUGCGGUUUUCACUGAUUUCAGGAGGACAGAAAGAAACUCUACAUAACAGAAGGGAAGCUCCAAGAUUUCAACAUUUCUGAAGGGAGCUACUGACUUAGAAAAAUACAGAUUCUUCAGUGGUGAUGGCCUGCUGCACCCAGCAGAGUUGGAGUGAAGCUACUGUCAGACAGUGGCGUACCGUGGGGUUUCAGUCAGGGCCUUCAAUUCUUCAGUGCUGAUGACCUGCUGCACCCAGCAGAGUCAGUGUGAACUCCUGUAAGACAACAUCACCAAGAUGCUAUAAACCGCAGGACUAGAUGCCCAUCCCGAGGUUACUAGAGAUGAAGCCAGCUCCAGUUUGGAUCCAAACUCACUUGUGAAGAUGCCAACGCUCACAAAGACUACAGAUGACGGCAACUGUACAUGGACACACAAAACACUGGACACACAAAACAAAUAUUAUCCUUAUAUUGCCUAUAAGGGUAAGUUUGACAAUUUUCAACCCGCUAUUGUAUUAUUGCAAUGUCUGUAAUAUCUGUAAAUGAACAAUAUUUACUCUUUCUCGGAGUUAUAUGGACCCUAUUUGUCCCCUUUUAUUUGUAAGCAGCACUUCGCAAGAUGACGCAAAAUGAAAUGAAUUUUGACAAAAUGACACAAACACUUUUGCAGCAUCUAAAUGAAAAAAUGCUGUUUUGCAUCAGUUUUGCUGACAAAUACACUGGGUAUCUUGGAGAAAGAAUAAACAUUGUUCUUUUACAUAUGUUACCAACAUUGUAACAAUACAAAAUGGACUGAAAAUUGUUGAACUUGCCCUUUAAUAAUGUUGAAGGAUAAUGUUUAACUGAACACAAAAAUAGAGACUUUAAAUAAAAUAUUUUAAAAUUUUUAACUGCGUAUUUAUUGUUUGCCUGGUUUUUAAUUUGUGUUUAUGCAACUGUUGUAUUAUUGUAACUCAGUUUUUGCCAUGAAGAUAGCCUUCGAUGCUGACAGCACAGAACACAUGACUUGUUUUAUGAAUUACUGUCAUAUGGACAUUAUUUUGUUGCCAGAAGAUGGUCUUCCCCAGUGAGUCUCAGUCACCUCUGGCUGAUUAAAGGAUGUUUUUAAAUUGUAACCUUGAAAUAUGCAUAUUCUGUAAACCUACUUUGAAAUGAUAAGUAUUGUGAAAAGUGCUAUACUUAUACAAUAUUUAACCAUGGUUUUACUAUAGUAAAACUAGCAAGCAUGAUUAUAGUAACCAUGUGUUUUUUUUUAUUUUUGAAACCAUGCUUCGAUGUCAUAUUCUAUAGUAACAUUGUAGUAAUACUUCAGUAAAACUGGUAACUAUGACUAUAGUGACCAUAGUUUUUGAAAUUAUGGUAAAUGUUGUAACUAUGGUUUUACUGCAAAUGCUGUAGUAACGGUUAUUUUGUAGUUACUAUGGUUUUACUGCAACAGUCAUAGUUAAACCAUGGUUACUGUAGUAAAACUAUGGUAGAUUUUAUUUUUACUAUGGUUUUACUACUUUAAAUGCUAUAGUAAUGGUUAUUUUUGUACUUACUAUGGUUUUAC